rnacentral:lncRNA from 1 species
UGACUAAUGAUUAACAUUUGAAAAUGGAACAUGAUAGGAAAAUACCACCAAUCACGGCAAAACCGUCUGUCAAAAGAGCAGAGGGCAACAACAACAAAAACGCUAUUCAAAGAAUAUCCUCUUCCAAGAUGAGAAUGUGCCAUUCAGAAGACGUCUUCAGGGCUCAACACAAAGAAUGGGCACUAUCAUGGCAGAAGAGGAUCCCUUUCCCUCAUCUGGUGCUUCUGAGAGAAGCCAUCAAGUUGCUGGAGCUGAAAAUAUUCGCAAAUUCCAGGAGAGUGUUUCCAAAGGAGUACCACGCAUUCCCCUUUGCGAUUGUAAUAAAAUGCUUGGGUGCUGCCAGGGGAAUUGCCAUCCCCCAAGCCAGUCCUUGGAGGUCCCCCAAGGGAGGACCACCCUUCUAACCAGAACUUUCCCAGCAUGGAGCCUAUCAGCAUUUUCAUCAACUAGAGAACUGGUGUUCCUUUAAGCCGAAUCACAGAGAUUAAUGUUUCAAUUUGCAGCUGCUUAAUGGUGUUCUGUGGAGCCUCUCCCUUCUGUCAUUUGCCCCCCGGUUGGCCUGAGGAUUUGUAGUUAAUGCGGCAGCUAGGGAAGCCUUUCAUUUCCCCUUGACUGGGUGUGUUAAAACGCUGAUCUGUUUCUCGAUCAGGUCUCUAUGUCUUAAUCUCAGUCUUGCCCUGAUGGAAUGUUCCCCUUCAUGCUUUACCAAAGCCAGGUAUUGAAUAUCUAGAAACCGAUAGCUUUGGCAAAUGCCCUGCUUGCUUCUUCCAAGAAACCAGUCCCUAAGGGGGUAGAUAUCUAAAGUAAGCUUAGAACAAGAACAUGCUUACCCCUGCUUACCAAUAUGAUUGCUAUCUUUUGCAGUACUGAUAGCUCCGUUUGCACCUUUGCUAGGGACAUAAGAUUAGACAAGAAAUGGUUUUGUUUUGCUUGUUAGUUUCUCCCGAAGCCUCCUUCCCCACCUCCCCAACCCAUCACUUUACACUUCUGUUCACUCUCUGUGCACUCUGUUUACUGAGACUCCUUUCAUACGUUUUGUCUUUUUCAGUAAAACCUUUUUUCAGUGACAUAAUUAUAUGUUUUUAUCUGAGUCUACCAAACGGAAUCCAGAAAAUCCAGUACAAAGAGCCUGGAAGUCUGCUCCCUAAGUGCUGGCCUUCUUGCCCAGUGACCUAGCCCACAGAACCAAGACAUCUUUGCUUAGGGCCUGCCCCUGUCCCUGAAGCUCCCUCAUAUGAGGGAAAGCUAACUGACUCUGGAGUCUCCUCACAGCCAUUUGCUGCAUUGGAAGAGGGUGGGAUUCUCCAACUAGGCAGGGGGACCAAACAGAAUGCUCCCAGCCAGGGACUUCCCACCACUUCUGCUGAGAGAUUUCAGCUGGCGUCGCUCAGAGGGGCUGGAACAAUUUGGCUGUCCACAAUUUUCGUAUUCUUUUUGGUGAAUAUUGGUUGUCUCCAGGGAUUUGAGAUGGUGAAGGCAAUAGGACUCCUCCCUCACACCUCAUUCCUAGAGCCUAUAUGUUAGGCUAUGGUUUGCAUAUUUGUCCCCUGUAAAACUUACGUUAAAAUUUAAUCCCCAAUGUGACAAUAUUAAGAAGCAGGGCCUUAAGAGGUGAUUGGGUCAUGAGGGCCCUGCCUUUAUGAGUGGAUGAAUCCAUUCAUGGAUUCAUGGGUAAAUAGCUUAUCAUGGGAGUGGGACUGGUAGCUUUGUAAGAAGAGGAAGAGAAACCUGAACAAAGAUGCUCAGCCCCCUCACUAUGUGAUACCCUGCACCACCUCAGGACUCUGCAGAGAGUCCCCACCAGCAAGAAGGCUCUCACCAGGUGUCCCUCCUUGACCUUGGACUUCCCAGCCUCCAGAACAGUAAGAAAUAAAUUUCAUUCCUUAUAAAUUACACAGUUUCAAGGUAUUCUGUUAUAAACAACAGAAAAUGGACCUAGAGACAAUUCUCCAUGAUGCCCUCACUUUCUGCAUGUCUUGUUAGCAAGACAUUGACUACCUUUGUUCUGGACUACCUUUUCAAAAAUGUUUGUAUAGUGAAUAAUCUUGGAAGACAGAGUGUCUCUCUCCAGAGUUUGCUUCCCAUUAUAAGAUAUAUAAGAUCCCGUUUCCCUCAAUGAAGGGGUCAUCUCCUGUAACAUAAUCCACUCCAUGUAUUGGUGUCACCUGGCCUUCCCAUCACACUUUGGGGAUUGAGGCUCGAGGAACUGGGACAAAAAUGCUAAUACUCUGGCUACUGCUUUUGCUGUGAGGGAUAAACUGUCCUUCAUCUCUGACCGAAGAGUCUCAUGUCUUCUACCAACAUCCAUGAAACUAUGGCAGACCACCUUGUUAACUUGUAAGUAGGGCUAAGUCUCAGACCAUUCACAGUUCUUGACAAUAUAUUAUAAUAACAACAAGUAUCAAGCAACCUUUCAGCACACAUGUAAACAUUUAUUAACAAACAGGCCAAAAAAGUCAUGUAAUCUGUUCUUUUAAUGGGUGAGGUCCUGCUUCUCUGUCCUUUAAGCAUGUCAGCAAACACUUUCCAUGAAAAGUUUACCUGAGGUAGAUGUGGCCAUAUUCUAGUGGCAAGAUUAAGCUAAUAUUCUAUUUGGAUUAGGUGACAGAAGCAUCUAUCAAGUGGCAGAACACUGGACUAGACUGAAGCUCUAAACCAAGUAUCCCACCACUCCAAAGGGUAUUAGGCUUUUGGACUUACCAGAGUCUUGUCUUCUGUUCAUGCAAUUGAAUAUUUCUACUCAAUGCACAUAAAUAGAAUGUCAUUCAGCUCCCCAAUAAAAAAUUUCUAGCAUCCCUUAUAAGAAUUAACAAAUUCUCUAAGGCAGAUCUAGAUGGGCCCAGUUAAAGUAUACUUAUGGUAAUGGCCUCUGGGUAUGAAUUCCAAAUUAGGGUCUUUCAAAUGCUCACUUACUACCCUAGAGUAUGAAUCCCUGAUUAGGAGGUAACUUCAAAUGUUUGAUCUAUCCUAGUUUAUUAUAACCAGCAAAUCACGCUUGGUUCACACUGUCUAUUCUGAAGUAUGUUCAAUUACAACACUUUAAUGGAAGCGUUUUGUUUUUUAAAGAUACAGCUUCUGGGACACAGCUCUUCCCUCUUUCCCUUCUCUUGGGCUUUCUCCAUUAUAGGAAAACAAACAGUUGGUUAGUCGGCGCUUUUUGGCUGGUAGAGCCAAGGGUCUUUGGCACAAAUGGCCUCCGAUGAGCGCCAGGUACAGUCUCAUGUUAUUCAGUUGAUUUAUACCCUUAAGCCCAGUUUAAAACCCUAAUAACUCUCUUUCUCCUCCCUUCAAGUUACCUAGCUCAUUUGCUAGCCCUUGUCAUAUGGCAGCCUCCAAGUACACUACCGGGCAGGCUAUCCCAGGGUCACGGAAUAGAAAGAGUCACAGACUCACAUAUUUGCAAUAAGAUGCUCAUAUUGCACAAUGUAUUAAAUUUAUUUAAAACACAUGGCAAGAUGUAAGGAGAACUAGACAGGCUAGGUUAACACACUUAGGGUAAGGUAAAUAUAAGCCAACUGGGAGGACCACACUGCCUGAUUCCUACUUACACAAUUGUUCAUAUGCCUUGUCUCUUUCUCCUCCACAUGAGCCUCCUCUGCUACUGAUGUGGUUAUAAGGACCCAAAAUGAGGUUUGAAAAAAGAGGCCCAGCAAAUGUAAGGUACUUGGAGCUAAGAUGUGCUCACACUCCACAGAGAUCUGAGGGCAAGUACAGCUGGCUAUAGCUGUAACUUGCCAAACAGCCUGCUGAGCAACUAUAGAUUUUUAUUUGCAUUUUUGGGGUCAAGUACACAUGGGCCCAUAGUGGGUAUAAUGGAUGUUCCUAUUAGGUGCCAAUUUAGGGAUGGCAUAGCUGUCAUCCCAGAAAUGACCAAAUCAUAUGAUUUGAUCUUUCUGUUUCUUCUUUAUCUAAAAGUAUUCAUCUUAUUUGUUCCAUUAUAUAUUCCAUUCCAUUCUUAACACGUCUUUCAGGUUACCCACUACCUAUAUUUAACGUAUACCCACUACCUAUAUUUUGCCCACAUUGCACAAUCUGCUUGCUUCUUCUUUAUCUGCAUGCCUAACACAGCUAGUGAGUUUUGCCUAUAUCACAUGAGCUACUUGCUUACACAGCAAUGUGUGCUUAACACAUCUUAUGAGUUUCAAACAUCCUGUUUAUUUUUCUUGUAUUUUUUGAAUAUUCUCAAUAAUAUAGCCAAUAACCAUCACAGAUAUCCUAAAUGAAAAUGUAGACUAUAAAAUGGUGCAUACAAUGAUUGCAAGUACAUAAGAAUAUGAAUGUACAUGAAUAAUAAUUGGAAGAUAAUACAUAAAAAUAAAAAAAAUAUGCUGGGGUAGUGGGGUCAUGAGUAACUUUUGUUUUCAAAACUUCCUUUGACAUCGUUUGUAUAAUGUGUCCUUUUUUAACUUUUAUUUUAAAUUCAGGGGUAUGUGUGCAGGUUAGUUAUAUAGGCAAACUUGCAUCAUGGGGAGUUGUUGUACAAAAUAUUUCGUCACCCAGGUAUUAAGCCUAGUACCCAUGAGUUAUUUUUCCUGAUCCUCUCCCUCCUCCCACCCUCCAUCCUCUGAUAGGCCCCAGUGUGUGUUGUUCCCUUCUAUGUGUCCAUGUGUUCUCAUCAUUUAACUCCCACUUAUAAGUGAGAACAUGUGGUAUUAGGUUUCCUGUUGCUGCAUUAGUUUGCUAAAGAUAAUAACCUCCAGCUCCAUCCAUGUUUCUUCAAAGGACAUGAUCUUCUUUUUUUUAUGGUUGCAUAGUACUUCAUGGUGUUAUUGUACAACAUUUUCUUUAUCUGGUCUAUCAUUGCCAUUUAGGUUGAUUCCAUGUCUUUGCUAUUGAGAAUAGCGCUGUGAUGGACAUACACAGGCAUGUGUCUCUAUGACAGAAUAUUUUCAGUAACAUUCAUUAUUUGUAAAUAGGCUAAGAUUCCAUAUAAUCUAUAUAUAAUACUCCCUUCUGACUAAGCAUGCAAAUGAGGAGUAUUUAACUGCAAAACCUAUCUCAAGCUUAAGGAAUUUGAAGAAGUAAACUGAACUCUUAAAGAAGAGUUUGGACUCUGAACCAUUUAUUUGUAUCUCAAAGAAAAGG